ACAAUUCUGAUGUAAUGAUGGAAAUCAUUCAUUUAGCAUUUAUGACAGUACUCAUGGAAAUUGGUGGACUGGAAAACCGAAUUGGUUUUCAUCUUAUCAAGAUGUUAAGUUAGCCACUCGAAGUUGAGAUUGUCUAUGAUCGAGUGUAUGUACGUAAGUACGUAACUGUAACCAAGUGCGCAGUUGAAAAAGCUGAAAUCUCUGUUCGAGACGAGUACGGCAACGCUGAGGGGAAACGAAUGUCUCUCCCCUUAUAUUCAUUUGAAAUGACGUAUUUCUCCCUUGUAAAAGGGAACCAGUAUAGGGGUCCUGUGUAAGAACCAGUAUAGGGGUCCUGUGUAAGAACCAGUAUAGGGAUCGGUGUUGGUUCUAACUGGUAUUGAAGGAGUACAGCUAGGAAUAAGCUACUUUUACAAUGUAUCCACCUACUGUUAAGAAGAAAUAUUAUUAAAAAAAACCCGG